rnacentral:rRNA from 1 species
GACGAACGCUGGCGGCGUGCUUAACACAUGCAAGUCGAACGGAAAGGCCCUGCUUUUGUGGGGUGCUCGAGUGGCGAACGGGUGAGUAACACGUGAGUAACCUGCCCUUGACUUUGGGAUAACUUCAGGAAACUAGGGCUAAUACCGGAUAGGAGCUCCUGCUGCAUGGUGGGGGUUGGAAAGUUUCGGCGGUUGGGGAUGGACUCGCGGCUUAUCAGCUUGUUGGUGGGGUAGUGGCUUACCAAGGCUUUGACGGGUAGCCGGCCUGAGAGGGUGACCGGCCACAUUGGGACUGAGAUACGGCCCAGACUCCUACGGGAGGCAGCAGUGGGGAAUAUUGCACAGUGGGCGGAAGCCUGAUGCAGCAACGCCGCGUGCGGGAUGACGGCCUUCGGGUUGUAAACCGCUUUCGCCUGUGACGAAGCGUGAGUGACGGUAAUGGGUAAAGAAGCACCGGCUAACUACGUG